rnacentral:snRNA from 1 species
ACCAUCUUAGAAAUGAGAUACU